rnacentral:misc_RNA from 1 species
GAUGAAGAACGUAGCGAAAUGCGAUACGUAAUGUGAAUUGCAGAAUUCAGUGAAUCAUCGAAUCUUUGAACGCAUAUUGCGCUCUCUGGUAUUCCGGAGAGCUUGCUUGUUUGAGUAUCAGUAAACACCUCAACUUCCAUAUCUUUUUUGAAAUGGGAGUUGGACUUGAGUGAUCCCAACGCUUUUCCUCACCGAAAAGUGGCGGGUUACUUGAAAUGCAGGUGCAGCUGGACUUUUCUCUGAGCUAUAAGCAUAUCUAUUUAGUCUGCCUAAAAAACAGAUUAUUACCUUUGCUGCAGCUAACAUAAAGGAGAUUAGUUCUUGUGCUGACUGAUGCAGGAUUCACAAAGACAGCUUCGGCCGACUUUGUAAACUCGAUCUCAAAUCAAGUAAGACUACCCGCUGAACUUAAGCAUAUCAAUAAGCGGAGGA